UACGGAGGGUGCAAGCGUUAUCCGGAUUUACUGGGUUUAAAGGGUGCGUAGGUGGGUUGGUAGGUCAGUGGUGAAAUACUUUCGCUUAACGAAGGAACUGCCAUUGAUACUACCAGUCUUGAAUACAGUGGAGGUAGGCGGAAUGCGUCAUGUAGCGGUGAAAUGCUUAGAUAUGACGCAGAACACCAAUUGCGAAGGCAGCUUGCUACACUGUUAGUGACACUGAGGCACGAAAGCGUGGGGAUCAAACAGG
rnacentral:rRNA from 1 species